CAACUAUGGAAACCCCCCCUCCCAGCCCGCCUGCGGCCACAGCGCCGCCCCAUAGGGCGAGCCCGCAGCCGCCGCCAUCUUGGGCUCACAACGAGGCUGAGGGGGAGACCGACUGUCGCCACACAGGGCGAGCCCGCGGCUGCCGCCAUCUUGGGCUCACAACGAGGCUGAGGGGGAGACCGACUGUCGCCACACAGGGCAAGCCCGCGGCUGCCGCCAUCUUGGGCUCACAACGAGGCUGAGGGGCCCAGGUGCUGCCCUGUGCGGGAGUAGGUGGUUCUCUGGCCCUUGCUGGAGUCAGGUUCAGCUCAGUUGAUUGAGGCCUCCGCUCCUGCUGGCUGCUGUCUUCCUAAUCGGUUUUGAAUGUAUGUAGUGCUUCCUGUCACUGCCUGAUAAAAUGGGCUGUUUCUGUCAAGACAAAUUUUCUGCAUCUCUCUGCCUCCCUCUCUUCUCUCAUAUUUUCUGUCUCCUCUCCGAUUUUCUUGCCUUUCUCCAUUAACCUCCUUCUGUCUCUUUCUCCCCUCUGUUAUCUCUAUUUCACAUCCUCAUUGUUUCUUUGUCCCUUUCUCUCUACUUAUUUAAUUUUGAUUGAGCCCUCAGUACAUUUGCAGGGUCGAUGAAAAGUGUAUACACCCAAAAAUUGAAUAAAAUGGUACAACACAGA